rnacentral:rRNA from 1 species
UACGUAGGGGGCAAGCGUUGUCCGGAAUCACUUGGCUUAAAGGGCGCGUAGGCGGUCGACCCAGUCUGGGGUGAAAUCUUUCGGCUUAACCGGAAAAGUGCCCCCGAUACUGGCCGGCUAGAGGGAGAUAGGGGCAUGCGGAACUUCCGGUGGAGCGGUGAAAUGCGUAGAUAUCGGAAGGAACGCCGGUGGCGAAAGCGGCGUGCUGGAUCUCUUCUGACGCUGAGGCGCGAAAGCCAGGGGAGCAAACGGG